CACUGGUGCACGGGGCCAGCCUCCCACGGGGUCCAGCUGGAGCCCACUGCUGCCACUCCCUUUCUCUAUGUGAAUCUGCAAAUAAGUCUCGUCCCCUUCCGGGCCUCCUUUUCUUCACGAGUAAAUGGGAGGCGGGAGGAAGGCAUCUGGACCAGAUACACACCCACAGCCUCUCGCAGCCCUGCUGGCCUCUGCGAGAAGGAAUUAAUAUUCCUGUUGCAUAGCUCACAACAUUCCGAUCAUCACCAAGCAGAACACGCUCGCCCCAGCCCCAGCUCUAGCCCCACUCCUUGUUCCCUGCAUCCCACAGUCCUUGCCCUGGAAUGGGGUUGACAGCGACGGGCUGCUGCAGAGGAGACAGACAUAUGUAUUCUUAGCGCUGGGACAGAGGGUAGGAUAAGACUGUAGGAAAAUUCCCCUCAUGGCAAGACCGUUUAGAGCCAAGCCCAGGACAGCCAGCUAAUCCCCCGACCCUAGGAAGGGAGCAUGGGGAAUAUGAUUUCAAAGAAUUCCGUGCUGUGAACUCUAAGUACUUGCUUCGUUCUGCCUCCCUGAACCAGUCACUUACUCGAAAGAAAAAUUCCAGUCUGCGUCAAGGCUUGGUGGGGGCCGAUGGGAGGCCUGCCAGGGACUCAGCAGUGAAGGCUGCCGGCAAUGGGGGAAAGGAAAAGGAUCCGACUUUUGCGAAGACCUCAUUCUGUGCCAAGCAUUGUGCUGAGCCUUUUAUCUCCAUCCUGUCGUUGGCUCCUCAUGGCAGAGCUAGCUGGAAUCCCUUUUUGGAUAAGAGGAAACUGAGUUCACAGAGGUGUACCUCUUCCCCUAUUCCUUCGGCUGAACCUGAACGUGGCAGAGGCUUCAACCAUGCAGAUGGUGACAAGGUCCGGAAAACGGAGGAACCUGAAGAUGGAAGAAACCUGGGUUGGUUCCUUAGUCCCUCUGCAGCCCCAAGGAAUCUUUUGAUUCUCUGUGCAGAAGCUUUUUGCCUCUUGGGAUGUCCUAUUGGACAGGGCCCGAGGCACCCCAUGUCAGCUUCCUCUUGUGGUCUGCCUACAUCUGGCACAUAUGAAACUCACAUUUUCUGCCCCAAUCAACUCUGUGUGUAAGUUGAGCCAGACACGGUGGCUCACGCUUGUAAUCCCAGCGCUUUGGGAGGCUGAGGCGGGCAGAUCACGAGUUCAGGAGAUCGAGACCAUCCUGGCUAACACUGUGAAACCCCCUCUCUACUAAAAACACAAAAAAAUAGCCAGGUGUGGUCCCAACUACUCAGGAGGCUGAGGCAGGAAAAUUGCUUGAACCCGGGAGGCAGAGGUUGCAGUGAGCCGAGAUUGUACCACUGCACUCCAGACUGGGUGACAGAGCGAGACUCCAUCUCAAAUAAAAAAAAACAAAAAACAAAACA
rnacentral:lncRNA from 13 species